CGGGACGGGUGAGUAAUGUCUGGGAAACUGCCUGAUGGAGGGGGAUAACUGCUGGAAACGGUAGCUAAUACCGCAUAACGUCGCAAGACCAAAGGGGGGACCUUCGGGCCUCUUGCCAUCGGAUGUGCCCAGAUGGGAUUAGCUAGUAGGUGGGGUAACGGCUCACCUAGGCGACGAUCCCUAGCUGGUCUGAGAGGAUGACCAGCCACACUGGAACUGAGACACGGUCCAG
rnacentral:rRNA from 1 species